UGUUGACAUUGAUUAGCUGGUUAAAGUGUGUUUUAUAAGGUUUGGAGGAGCUAAAUUCAGCAGGACAGUGGCCUAAGCAGUGACCAGGACCGAGUUUGUUCAAUGUCGGACGCAGCGUUCAUCCAGACCGGCACGUGGCGCUGAUUAUCACCGAGCUCAGCAGCAUGACCUCAAAUAAAACAAUAGACGAGAAAUUUCUGUUAUGAAUGUGGAAAUAAGAGCUCGAUAGGGAUUUCAGUGAUAUUUAUCAAUGCACAAUGUCCAAACUGCAGAUUUUAAGCGUUUUUCUGACAGAGCGAUUAACUUCAGCUGCGCAGGAGAUAUUCAAGGCUGUGGAAGACAUAUUUUCCGAGUAUAAUGAGGAGAUGUGUCGCUCCAGACAGGAGAUUGAGCUGCUCAAGAGGAGACUGCAGCAGGCAGGAGUUCAGAUGGACUCUGAAUUGCAGCCCUGCUCUUCUGAGACUCACACUCACAAAUACACCCAGGCAUUUUCUGAGGAAUGGAGAUCUGAACAUGACUUGAAGGAUACAGAAAUGCAUAUGAAGCUAGAAGUUUAUACACAGCAGGAGGAGAGUGAAUUGCAAGUACCUGUGUGCCGUGAAUCAGCAUCUUUAUCACCAUGUAUGGACAUUUACCAUGAUCAGAUGCCCAAUAAAGACACUGAAACCCAAAUGAUGGACAGCAGCUUGAAUACUUUUCCAUUUAUUAAUGAAGCACCUCAAAUUAAGAAUGAACCUGAGACUAAUACUGAAACAGGUACCACCUGUCAGGCACAGCAACACAUCACAAGACACGUCUUGGAUGAUUCAGGGGCCAGUGAUGCAUCCAGUGAUGUCAGCAAAAUCAAAGUUAGCCACAUUAGCCCCAGACAUAAGACACAAGAAUUUUAUCUGCCCCUCAGACAUCAAGAGAUGUUGACGCAGCAUAGGAUGGAGCUGGCUCAGAAAAGGGAAAGACUGGCUGAUGAAGAGCAAAAGAAGGCUGCAGCAAGCGCUAGAUCCCAAAAGCACAGGCAGAAAGUGUACGGGAAUCCUGAGCUUCGUGAUGCAUACAGGAAAAAGGAGAGAGAGAGUAAAUUGCAAUCACAGUGGGAAAGAAACAAGAGGAAAAAGAGUGAAAAUGAGGAAAUGCACAGAAUAAAGAAGAUCCGGCACAUUGAAGAAGUGGCACUUGAUAAAGAACAACAACAAAUGCAAUCCAAGACAAACCCGGCUGACAUUUGUUUGGAAGACGUUCAGCAUGAAGAGGAACUAUCUGAAAGUUACCCGCAGCAUCAAGACAUUCAAGGAAAUCCACACGGUACAGGAGAGUAUUUGUGUGUCGUUUGCCGCAGAAGAUUCAGCUCACCCGGACUGCUGAAAAUUCAUCUGAGAAUUCACUCUGGAGAGAAACCCUACCACUGCAACUUUUGUGGGAAAAACUUUAGACAAUCCAGCCACCUGAACACACAUAUCAGGAUCCACACGGGAGAGAGACCUCACAUCUGUCAGAACUGCGGGAAGACGUUUAUUGACUCGAGUGCAAGAAACAGACACUUCAAAAAAUGUGUUCUUAUCUCUCUACAGGGACAAUGAAAUCACAAGGAGCACCUUUUGAAGGUCUUUUCUGUUGUUUGCUGAAAUGGAAAUGUCAAGUGAGAAAGGUUGACAUGGAGCAUGCUAAAUCUCGAACCUCCGGGGAAUCAACAGUUUUAAAAAACGCAGGAACUACAGAGCUCGUAAUAAAACGAGAAUCAGGAUGGGAUGGCUUUUGGAGAGAUUUGUAUUACUCUACAGCAAAGCCAAAGUGCCAAGUCAUAUCUGGAGAUGUAACAAAGGGAAUUCCAUGGAUAUUGAACAGAGCUUCAGACAUCAGGCAAGAACAGAAAAAAAAAGAUGUACAGUUGACAUUUACUCACCUUGCACAGGUUGCAGUACCAAAUAUAAUGCCCAGGGGGAGCUGUCAUUCAAAGGACAAAGUGAUUAAAUCAUUCUAGGCAAUGCUAUGCUGCAACAUGAGUUUGUGACAUGCCUUAUUUCAUAGCUAGAUCAGAGCAAAACACUAUGGAUAAACAAGUGUGACUGCAAUAUUUGCAGAGUAGGACAUCAACAUCCUCAUCAACAUCCUUGUUGAUCUUCGAACAACAUUCCUAACAAAUCGUGUUUUAGUAAUAAUAAAUCAGGAAAGGUAUCUGAGUUAAAGCUUCCCUGACAUGGGGUUAUUUUAUUAUUUUUAUU